ACGGAGGGUGCAAGCGUUAUUCGGAAUUACUGGGCGUAAAGCGCGUGUAGGCGGUCCUGCAAGUCUGAUGUGAAAGCCCCGGGCUUAACCCGGGAAGUGCAUUGGAAACUGUGGGGCUUGAGUACUGGAGAGGAUGGGGGAAUUCCCGGUGUAGCGGUGAAAUGCGUAGAGAUCGGGAGGAAUACCAGUGGCGAAGGCGCCCAUCUGGACUAUUACUGACGCUGAGACGCGAAAGCUUGGGGAGCAAACAG
rnacentral:rRNA from 1 species